GAAAUGCGAUAAGUAAUGUGAAUUGCAGAAUUCAGUGAACCAUCGAAUCUUUGAACGCACAUUGCGCCCCUCGGUCCCCCGGGGGGCAUGCCUGUCCGAGCGUCAUGCUUCCUGUCGGACCCCUUCUGGGGGGUUCUGGAGCUGGGCUUCGCGAGCUUCUCGGAGACGAAGGGCGACGCGGGCCCGAAAUCCUAGUGGAGCCACCGCGGGAGGCGAAGCGACCGAGGCCUUCACGCCAUCGCUAGUCCUCCCGCCUGGUUGGCCUCUCCUUUAACCAACCCAAGGGUCAACCGGCCCGAGGGUCAACGGCGACCGACCUCGGAUCAGGUAGGGAUACCCGCUGAACUUAAGC
rnacentral:misc_RNA from 1 species